rnacentral:rRNA from 1 species
UGCAGUCGAACGAUGAACCAGAGCUUGCUCUGGGGAUUAGUGGCGAACGGGUGAGUAACACGUGAGUAACCUGCCCUUGACUCUGGGAUAAGCGUUGGAAACGACGUCUAAUACCGGAUAUGACACCUGACCGCAUGGUCUGGGUGUGGAAAGAAUUUUGGUCAAGGAUGGACUCGCGGCCUAUCAGGUAGUUGGUGAGGUAACGGCUCACCAAGCCGACGACGGGUAGCCGGCCUGAGAGGGUGACCGGCCACACUGGGACUGAGACACGGCCCAGACUCCUACGGGAGGCAGCAGUGGGGAAUAUUGCACAAUGGGCGAAAGCCUGAUGCAGCAACGCCGCGUGAGGGACGACGGCCUUCGGGUUGUAAACCUCUUUUAGUAGGGAAGAAGCGAAAGUGACGGUACCUGCAGAAAAAGCACCGGCUAACUACGUGCCAGCAGCCGCGGUAAUACGUAGGGUGCAAGCGUUGUCCGGAAUUAUUGGGCGUAAAGAGCUCGUAGGCGGUUUGUCGCGUCUGCUGUGAAAUCUGGGGGCUCAACCCCCAGCCUGCAGUGGGUACGGGCAGACUAGAGUGCGGUAGGGGAGAUUGGAAUUCCUGGUGUAGCGGUGGAAUGCGCAGAUAUCAGGAGGAACACCGAUGGCGAAGGCAGAUCUCUGGGCCGUAACUGACGCUGAGGAGCGAAAGCAUGGGGAGCGAACAGGAUUAGAUACCCUGGUAGUCCAUGCCGUAAACGUUGGGAACUAGAUGUAGGGGCCAUUCCACGGUUUCUGUGUCGCAGCUAACGCAUUAAGUUCCCCGCCUGGGGAGUACGGCCGCAAGGCUAAAACUCAAAGGAAUUGACGGGGGCCCGCACAAGCGGCGGAGCAUGCGGAUUAAUUCGAUGCAACGCGAAGAACCUUACCAAGGCUUGACAUAUACCCGGAAACGUCCAAAAGAUGGUCGCCCCGCAAGGUCGGUAUACAGGUGGUGCAUGGUUGUCGUCAGCUCGUGUCGUGAGAUGUUGGGUUAAGUCCCGCAACGAGCGCAACCCUCGUUCUAUGUUGCCAGCAC